UACGAAGGGGGCUAGCGUUGCUCGGAAUCACUGGGCGUAAAGGGUGCGUAGGCGGGUCUUUAAGUCAGGGGUGAAAUCCUGGAGCUCAACUCCAGAACUGCCUUUGAUACUGAAGAUCUUGAGUUCGGGAGAGGUGAGUGGAACUGCGAGUGUAGAGGUGAAAUUCGUAGAUAUUCGCAAGAACACCAGUGGCGAAGGCGGCUCACUGGCCCGAUACUGACGCUGAGGCACGAAAGCGUGCGGAGCAAACAGG
rnacentral:rRNA from 1 species